rnacentral:rRNA from 1 species
UACGGAGGAUCCAAGCGUUAUCCGGAUUCACUGGGUUUAAAGGGUGCGUAGGUGGGCAGGUAAGUCCGCGGUGAAAUCCCCGAGCUUAACUUGGGAACUGCCGUUGAUACUAUCUGUCUUGAAUGUCGUGGAGGUAAGCGGAAUAUGUCAUGUAGCGGUGAAAUGCUUAGAGAUGACAUAGAACACCAAUUGCGAAGGCAGCUUGCUACACGAAAAUUGACACUGAGGCACGAAAGCGUGGGGAGCAAACAGG